GGGGAAUUUUCCGCAAUGGGCGAAAGCCUGACGGAGCAAUACCGCGUGAGGGAGGAAGGCCUUAGGGUUGUAAACCUCUUUUCUCUGGGAAGAAGAUCUGACGGUACCAGAGGAAUAAGCCUCGGCUAACUCCGUGCCAGCAGCCGCGGUAAGACGGAGGAGGCAGGCGUUAUCCGGAAUUAUUGGGCGUAAAGCGUCCGUAGGCGGUUAAUUAAGUCUGUUGUUAAAGCCCACAGCUCAACUGUGGAUCGGCAAUGGAAACUGGUUGACUGGAGUGUGGUAGGGGUAGAGGGAAUUCCCGGUGUAGCGGUGAAAUGCGUAGAUAUCGGGAAGAACACCAGUGGCGAAGGCGCUCUACUGGCCACAACUGACGCUGAUGGACGAAAGCUAGGGGAGCGAAAGGGAUUAGAUACCCCUGUAGUCCUAGCUGUAAACGAUGGAUACUAGGUGUUGGACGUAUCGACCCGUGCAGUACCGUAGCUAACGCGUUAAGUAUCCCGCCUGGGGAGUACGCACGCAAGUGUGAAACUCAAAGGAAUUGACGGGGGCCCGCACAAGCGGUGGAGGAUGUGGUUUAAUUCGAUGCAACGCGAAGAACCUUACCAAGGCUUGACAUCCUGCGAAUCUUUCAGAGAUGAGAGAGUGCCUUCGGGAGCGCAGAGACAGGUGGUGCAUGGCUGUCGUCAGCUCGUGUCGUGAGAUGUUGGGUUAAGUCCCGCAACGAGCGCAACCCUCGUCCUUAGUUGCCAUCAUUAAGUUGGGCACUCUGGGGAGACUGCCGGGGACAACUCGGAGGAAGGUGGGGACGACGUCAAGUCAUCAUGCCCCUUACGUCUUGGGCUACACACGUCCUACAAUGCUACAGACAGAGGGCAGCAAGCGCGCGAGUGCAAGCAAAUCCCAUAAACUGUGGCUCAGUUCAGAUUGCAGGCUGCAACUCGCCUGCAUGAAGGCGGAAUCGCUAGUAAUCGCAGGUCAGCAUACUGCGGUGAAUACGUUCCCGGGCCUUGUACACACCGCCCGUCACACCAUGGGAGUUGGCCACGCCCGAAGUCGUUACUCUAACCGUUCGCGGAGGAGGGCGCCGAAGGCAGGGCUGAUGACUGGGGUGAAGUCGUAACAAGGUAGCCGUACCGGAAGGUGUGGCUGGAUCACCUCCUUUUAGGGAGACCUACCCUUGAUAACUCCGAACCAAAAUGAAUUAGGAGUAUCGAGUGGUCACUCUAGGUCGAACAGGGUCUUGAGUAGAGUUUCUAGACUAUGGUUGAGGUUUAUUUUUUAGUCUUACGGGAUUAAGGAACUAAACACGGGCUAUUAGCUCAGGUGGUUAGAGCGCACCCCUGAUAAGGGUGAGGUCCCUGGUUCGAGUCCAGGAUGGCCCACUGCGUGGGGGUUUAGCUCAGUUGGUAGAGCGCCUGCUUUGCAAGCAGGAUGUCAGCGGUUCGAGUCCGCUAACCUCCACCACGAGCGAACGUCGACAUGAGUUUAGAUGAUGGUAAUAAAUUCAGCACGGUAUAGGUCAGAAGUAUUCUGAUGUAUAGUCUGCUGGGUGAAAGCCUAGCAAAGAACCUUGAAAACUGAAUAUGAGAGAAGUGUAAGGUAGUACACACAGAACAUUUAAGUUCGUUGAGAGAAGAGUGAGUUUGAUUAGUUUUAGGACUAGUUGAACGAAGGUCAAGCUACAACGGGCUCACGGUCGAUACCUAGGCACACAGAG
rnacentral:sRNA from 1 species